UGCUUGAGAGGCAGGCAGAAACACCACUGAGCUAAAUCCCCAGCCCUAAAUGAUUAAUUUUUAGAGUUGCUUAUCAUCCUACAUUCCGUGUGAUCUUUCAAAGUACUCACCUAAAAUUUGGUUUAGCCUUGUUCUUGUAAAGUCUUCGAUUUGAAGGUGUUGACAUUCCAACAGAUAAUGCUUCUAAGUUCUCAAGAGAAGUCCCUUUGCCAAAGAUGAGGACAUCUGUCAUCCACAUUACCUACACUUAGAUCCUUCUUCACCACUACCUCACCUGACUAGACAACAGUUGCUCAUUUCGCUCAUCUUGUCUCCAGUAGACUGACAAAGGUACAGGGGUCACUUAAUUUGGAAUCUCUAAUUAGCCAUUCACAUAUCACAGGCUCUCACCAUUAUAUGCAAUCAACACUGGAGGUUUCCUGAGAGCUUAAGGGACACCAGCAAUUACUUUCCUAACUGGAUGGAAAGCAUGCAAGGUAUGUGGAUUACCUACUAAUACCAAAGCACCUUUCCCAUUCCUUGAACAGUUUCUCUUGGAAAACUGCGACAGCCUCUUAGCUCAAUCCCUU
rnacentral:lncRNA from 1 species